GGGUCUCUGGUUGGAGAUUCCUCCCUUGUGGAGUUUUUCCUGUGAACUUGCAUCUUCAGAGAUGGGGCACAAUGCCUAUGUUAUAUAGGCAAGCUGAAGCUGGAGUGGAAAAGGAAAGUUCCUACUGCAAAAGCAGCAAAGUUGGAAUGUGCUGUGAAGACUCAAGAUUGCUUUUCAGCUCUGUAGGUGUGGAUGGACUUUCUAAUGGGAAAGAAUGGAUGUAGAAGGGGGAAAUCACUAAAAUGGUGGUCAAAGUUUCUGGAAGUGGCCAUGAAAGCUAUGCUACAGUUCCAUCCACUACUGAGAAUCUGGCAUGUGAAUACACAGGAGUUCCCGAAAUUCAAGACUUCUGGAAGAAUCCUGAACUGAGACCUUAAAGUCACUG